rnacentral:rRNA from 1 species
UCCUACGGGAGGCAGCAGUGGGGAAUUUUGGACAAUGGGCGCAAGCCUGAUCCAGCAAUGCCGCGUGAGUGAAGAAGGCCUUCGGGUUGUAAAGCUCUUUUGUCAGGGAAGAAACGGGAGAGGCUAAUAUCUUUUCCUAAUGACGGUACCUGAAGAAUAAGCACCGGCUAACUACGUGCCAGCAGCCGCGGUAAUACGUAGGGUGCAAGCGUUAAUCGGAAUUACUGGGCGUAAAGCGUGCGCAGGCGGUUUUGUAAGUCUGACGUGAAAUCCCCGGGCUCAACCUGGGAAUUGCGUUGGAGACUGCAAGGCUGGAGUCUGGCAGAGGGGGGUAGAAUUCCACGUGUAGCAGUGAAAUGCGUAGAGAUGUGGAGGAACACCGAUGGCGAAGGCAGCCCCCUGGGUCAAGACUGACGCUCAUGCACGAAAGCGUGGGGAGCAAACAGGAUUAGAUACCCUGGUAGUCCACGCCCUAAACGAUGUCUACUAGUUGUCGGGUCUUAAUUGACUUGGUAACGCAGCUAACGCGUGAAGUAGACCGCCUGGGGAGUACGGUCGCAAGAUUAAAACUCAAAGGAAUUGACGGGGACCCGCACAAGCGGUGGAUGAUGUGGAUUAAUUCGAUGCAACGCGAAAAACCUUACCUACCCUUGACAUGUCAGGAACCUCGGAGAGAUCUGAGGGUGCCCGAAAGGGAGCCUGAACACAGGUGCUGCAUGGCUGUCGUCAGCUCGUGUCGUGAGAUGUUGGGUUAAGUCCCGCAACGAGCGCAACCCUUGUCAUUAGUUGCUACGAAAGGGCACUCUAAUGAGACUGCCGGUGACAAACCGGAGGAAGGUGGGGAUGACGUCAAGUCCUCAUGGCCCUUAUGGGUAGGGCUUCACACGUCAUACAAUGGUACAUACAGAGGGCCGCCAACCCGCGAGGGGGAGCUAAUCCCAGAAAGUGUAUCGUAGUCCGGAUUGUAGUCUGCAACUCGACUACAUGAAGUUGGAAUCGCUAGUAAUCGCGGAUCAGCAUGUCGCGGUGAAUACGUUCCCGGGCCUUGUACACACCGCC